AUUGAACGCUGGCGGCAGGCCUAGCACAUGCAAGUCGAACGGUAACAGGAAGCAGCUUGCUGCUUCGCUGACGAGUGGCGGACGGGUGAGUAAUGUCUGGGAAACUGCCUGAUGGAGGGGGAUAACUACUGGAAACGGUAGCUAAUACCGCAUAACGUCGCAAGACCAAAGAGGGGGACCUUAGGGCCUCUUGCCAUCGGAUGUGCCCAGAUGGGAUUAGCUAGUAGGUGGGGUAACGGCUCACCUAGGCGACGAUCCCUAGCUGGUCUGAGAGGAUGACCAGCCACACUGGAACUGAGACACGGUCCAGACUCCUACGGGAGGCAGCAGUGGGGAAUAUUGCACAAUGGGCGCAAGCCUGAUGCAGCCAUGCCGCGUGUAUGAAGAAGGCCUUCGGGUUGUAAAGUACUUUCAGCGGGGAGGAAGGGAGUAAAGUUAAUACCUUUGCUCAUUGACGUUACCCGCAGAAGAAGCACCGGCUAGCUCCGUG
rnacentral:rRNA from 1 species